CUGACGAUAAGAUGAAGAUACAGAAGAAAUCGACGUUUUCCAGAUGAAAAAGAGACGCAACCCCGAGAUAGAAGAAGAUGGAGAAAUUUUCCUCUAAGCAGCUAGUGUCAGAAGUCCUGCCUUUGUCAGUUCACUAAUUUCAAAUGCAUCGUGGCAGAUGUGUCUCCUUGGUCCGAUAUGUCACUGCUUCCUGAUGAAAGUCUGAUGAAAGCGUGGACUGACAUUAAAGACAAGCUGAAAUGAAUUCCAUCUGCCAGUUAUAAGUGGAUGU
ensembl:lncRNA